rnacentral:rRNA from 1 species
UACAGAGGUCUCAAGCGUUGUUCGGAUUCAUUGGGCGUAAAGGGUGCGUAGGCGGGUUUUUAAGUCAGGGGUGAAAUCCUGGAGCUCAACUCCAGAACUGCCUUUGAUACUGAAGAUCUUGAGUUCGGGAGAGGUGAGUGGAACUGCGAGUGUAGAGGUGAAAUUCGUAGAUAUUCGCAAGAACACCAGUGGCGAAGGCGGCUCACUGGCCCGAUACUGACGCUGAGGCACGAAAGCGUGGGGAGCAAACAGG